rnacentral:rRNA from 1 species
UACGUAGGGUGCAAGCGUUGUCCGGAAUUAUUGGGCGUAAAGAGCUCGUAGGCGGUUUGUCGCGUCGAAUGUGAAAACCCGGGGCUCAACCCCGGGCCUGCAUUCGAUACGGGCAGACUAGAGUUCGGUAGGGGAGCCUGGAAUUCCUGGUGUAGCGGUGAAAUGCGCAGAUAUCAGGAAGAACACCCGUGGCGAAGGCGGCUCUCUGGGACGGUACUGACGCUGAGACGCGAAAGCGUGGGGAGCGAACAGG